GAUGAACGCUGGCGGCGUGCUUAACACAUGCAAGUCGAACGAAGCACUUUAUUUGAUUUCCUUCGGGACUGAUUAUUUUGUGACUGAGUGGCGGACGGGUGAGUAACGCGUGGGUAACCUGCCUUGUACAGGGGGAUAACAGUUGGAAACGGCUGCUAAUACCGCAUAAGCGCACGGCAUCGCAUGAUGCAGUGUGAAAAACUCCGGUGGUAUAAGAUGGACCCGCGUUGGAUUAGCUAGUUGGUGAGGUAACGGCCCACCAAGGCGACGAUCCAUAGCCGACCUGAGAGGGUGACCGGCCACAUUGGGACUGAGACACGGCCCAAACUCCUACGGGAGGCAGCAGUGGGGAAUAUUGCACAAUGGGCGAAAGCCUGAUGCAGCGACGCCGAGUGAGCGAAGAAGUAUUUCGGUAUGUAAAGCUCUAUCAGCAGGGAAGAUAAUGACGGUACCUGACGAAGAAGCACCGGCUAAAUACGUG
rnacentral:rRNA from 1 species